UGGCUCCCUCGGCCAAUAAAGCGAGAUGAGUGCCGCAACCCCAGAGUUGGUCAGGGGUUCCUUUACCUUUAUAAUUUAUAAGCUAAACUUCCCCAAUCCCUCACCUGUUCCUUAUUAGGCUUGGUUACAUUUGUUACAUUGCACUUGCCAUGUUACUGCCCAUUCACUCAUUUCGGAGGGGACCUUUUGGAGACCCCUUUUUCACUUCACCCCCCCCCCCUACAAUGUACUAUCAUACUCAUCUUUGGCCACCUCACUGCUCUUUCCUCACGCUGGACUGUUGAUGAACAAGUUAAAAAGGAAGAAACCUCCUCUUUUCCCUCCCUGAUCCUUGUGACUCCCCGUUCCCCUCACCCCACACCAUUGGCCAUGCUGCCUGUGGCUGAUGGGAGUUGGAGUCCAAGGAAGUCAGGGGGGUUCCACAGGUUCUCCAUCCCUUCCCUACAGCACCCCAGACACACAGGCUGCUUCCCUGUUUGAAUAGCUUUGAAAUGCGAAAAGCGAGCGGCAAAGUGGAGGCAGUAAUUUAUUUGUGUCUUGAGACAAACAGAUGCCAACGAUAACAGGGACAUUUAUGGGGACCAGGAAAUGGGAACAGCCCCUGGUAAAGAGGGACAGUAAGAGUGCUUGCAUUUUGCUUUCAUGAUACCAGAGGCAGGUUGCCAGCCUGGCUCUAUAGGCAGCAGACAGCAUGCUGGCAAAGUGUGGCAAUGCCCUUCCCUUUUUCGUAUCCCAGCAGGUGCCCUGAUAGUAAACGGGAGCCAAGAGGCCUUUGCUUGCUGUUCACACUCUGGAGUUACAGAAGGGGUUAAAGAGCCCUUUGCUGGUAAGGAUGAGCCGAUGGGAUGAGGCUAAUUCUGCGAGCCUUUCAAUUCUUUCUUAGAAUCGCCCUGUUGAAAAUGAGGGACUGUGAGUAGGAAGGGCCACAAGAGGGGAGAAAGGGGAAACUCCCAAAACCUCUUGAGUUCCUGCCAUCUUCAGGAUGCUGCAAAGCCCACUCAGAAAGCCCACAAUUCCCAUUCAUGAUUCUAGUAUAGUGUCUUCCAAACGUGGGUCUCCAGCUGUUUUUGGACUACAGUUCCCAUCACUCCUGACCACUUGUCCUGCUUGCUAGUGAUGAUGGGAGUUGUGGUUCAUCCACAGGAGGAGACACAAAUUUGGUAAACACUGUUCUAGUCCACCUGCUGUCCACUCUACAAGAUAGACAAGACUUGGUACAGUAUAAUACUUUUUAUUUACUCUUGUGUGCCCUCCUUUUUUUCCAGCCAACAUCCAGCUAGUCAGUGAGUGCUCCGCUCUUCCCUCAUUUAUGCAAUUUAUGCAAACCCCUCCACACCCAAAUAUAUGCAAAUAUAUUUGGAUUUGCACCAACCAUACUCGGCCCAGGCUUCAUUGUCUCUUUUGCAGAAUUUUUGAGUCCUCUCCUUUUAAAAAACAAAUAUAUGCAGCUCACAGCAAGCUGCUGUUAUCUCAGAAGCCAGCUUUACCAGAGAGUGGCUGCCUCGUGGACCUACUAGACUGUCCAGUUUCUCAGGGCGGCUGUGAAGCUGAGAGAUCUUAUUUGAAGAUUUUAACAGUGGGUAGCAGGCUCACCAAGUCCUAGACUAGUCGGGUAGUGAAGAGGGGAGUAUUCUGCUGGUAUAAACAUCAUCAGAGUUGUACCGAUGGCUCAGAAGGGAGGACUCGAGAACACAUAGGGUGGUGGUCAACUAACUCCUUCUUGUAGGAGACCCAUUGAAGUUAACGAACCCAAGUUACCAUGUCCAUUAGCUUAAAUGGGUCUGCUUAGAGUAGGACUUGUGUUGAAUUCCACCCCUAGGAUCAGCCAUGUAGGACCUUAUUAGGUCGUUUUCACAGUCAUCAUAAUUACCGAAGCAAAGUCCAGGAAUCAUAAGUAACUCUUUUGGGAAUGUUCUUAUAAUACGUGGAUCUCCAAACAUCUCACAUAUGCUCCUAAUUUUAUACCAGCAGAGGUUGGGCAAGUAUCCUCGAGGAAUAAUUUGGGGGUUACUGCAGUGUCUGCCAAUUUGUUACCUAGAUGAAGUGGGGUGAGGGUGAUGUGUGAAAGGGGCCAGUGCCAAGCAGCCUGGUUUCCUCCUGUGCUUUGGGUGCCAAGCAGCCAGGGGAAUCAGUAGUCAGGCACUCUUGACUUCCAGGAGGGUGCUUGUGUGUGUGUGUGUGUGUGUUUGUGUGUGUGCAAAAGCCACAAUUUUGGAGCUGAUUUUCAGAAUUUUUGGAGUAAAAUUAGAACGCCUGGAGUCAAAGCGUGAUUUCCCACUUCAUGAACACACUUGAACUUGUAUCACACACCCUCUAAGCCAGACUGUUAAGCUCACCAUUUCAUACUUGGCUGCAAGAGACUGCAAGGUGGGUGGGGCUGGUGGGUGCAGGUCUGGGCCUCCUCAGAGGCGAGCAGAGACCCACAAAUUUGAGCCGGCCUUGGUAGCCAGCCAGAAUUUGCACUUGCCACUCGCUUUACUUCUCCAUGUAAUGGGGGAGAAAUGUCAUAAGUGCAAGACGGUCUGAGGACUCUGUCCUGUAUCUGAGUGGGGAUUUCACCAGAUUACAAAAAAUGGUGUCACCUGUGGAGGUUGUAUACUCAUAAAAACCCUCUACAAUUCCUUCACUCCUUAGCUCAGGUGUAAACCAGCAUCUCAGCAAGUACUAACCAUGGGAGUGAAAAUGAGGCUCCACUCAAAUUAUGAGGGAAAAGAUACAGGCUUAGUGAAAUCCACAAGUCCUACCCAUUGACUGUCCCAAAUUUAAGUCAAAUCAUGCCCCCAUGCUCCCCAUAGCCGUUUAAGAACAGUAGCUAAGGGAGUGUUCACAAAAAGGAAGGGCCACUGGCCCACUCUGCCUCCAGUUUAAUACAAGCACUGGCUCUGCUCCUACCACCAUCUGCCAGGCCUUUAACAAGACCUAAGUUUCACCUCUUUGUCAUUGUUGACAACCCAGUUAUGUAGUAAUUCUUUGUAGCUUUGUUUUAUUUCAACAUUUCUUCAGUCCUGGCUACUUGGAGGUUGACAGCCACUAGCAAAGUCUCUGCCAUAGUAGAAGGGAGAUUUCCUCCCACAAAGUCCUAACACCAAAGAGCAGAAAAGCAGUAUCAUCCAGUACCAUGUUUGUUCCUUGGGAUAAGGUUGCCCUUGUUCUUCGUCUAGCUAUUUGGUUAUGAUUCUGUUAUUCUAUUAUCUGAACAGGAGUGAGGAGCUAGCAGCCUGCAGGCCAGAUCUGUCCCACCCCCACAAGCCUUUCCUACUAGAAACUGAAUAUUGGGGCUGGCCCAGUUGGACAGUUUCCUUUUUAAAAAAGAAGUUGGAUUUUA